rnacentral:rRNA from 1 species
ACGGGGGGUGCAAGCGUUGUUCGGAAUCAUUGGGCGUAAAGGGCGCGUAGGCGGUUUUUUAAGUCAGAUGUGUAAUCCCCGAGCUCAACUUGGGAACUGCAUCUGAGACUGGAAGGCUAGAGUACUGGAGAGGGUGGUAGAAUUCCACGUGUAGCGGUGAAAUGCGUAGAGAUGUGGAGGAAUACCAGUGGCGAAGGCGGCCACCUGGACAGUAACUGACGCUGAGGCGCGAAAGUGUGGGUAGCAAACAG